UUAACCAAUUCGUUUCUUGAUGGAGCAAACCGAAGAGGGCUGCAACACAAAUGAAAAGAUGGUUACUGGUGUGGAUUCUUCUUCAAAACAUGUUGAAGAAUUCCAACCCCAAAAACAUGAUGAGGAUCCUGGUCUGAAACAAAACCUAACGGAUCCUAAUUUAAGAAGAACGGUCUCAAAUCAUUCUGCCAAAAAGUCAUGGAAGAAGAAGUGGAAAAUUGUU
rnacentral:sRNA from 1 species